CCCGGAAGGGGACUCCAAGCUGAAGCUGAGUCAGAGGGACCCAGAACCUGUGGGGUUGACGGGGAAGACAAGGUCCCCUCAGUGAUGGAUCAGUCCUGGGUCAGAGAGUUCCUCAUGGCUAACCCAAUCAGAAUCCUCCCGCCAACCAGCCACCCACCCUCACCACUCCCACAGUUCUCUGCCAGACUAUGGGAAUGAUUCUCCUAAAGGGGAAAUCAAGGCCCAGGGUACACUGCUUCUCCACCAAGGGCUCUAAUGAGGAAGCGAUACGGUCCGUGUUUGGCUCCGAGAACUGCCUCACUGUCCUCUAAAGGACCCUGGGAGGCCAGCUGCCUGUCAUCUGGGCUGAGCGCGGAGGAUUUCUAAGGAGAGAAGUGCUCUACUCAUCGACUUGCGAUUGGACCAAUAAUACUAUAAACUCUCCGUGGGCAGGGAACGUGUCUACCGAC